AACGAACGCUGGCGGCAUGCCUAACACAUGCAAGUCGAACGAGACCUUCGGGUCUAGUUGCGCACGGGUGCGUAACGCGUGGGAACCUUCCCUUAGGUUCGGAAUAACUCCCCGAAAGGGGUGCUAAUACCGGAUAAUUUCUUCGGACCAAAGAUUUAUCGCCUUUGGAUGGGCCCGCGUUGGAUUAGCUAGUUGGUAGGGUAAAAGCCUACCAAGGCGACGAUCCAUAGCUGGUCUCAGAGGAGGAUCAGCCACACUGGGACUGAGACACGGCCCAGACUACUAGGGGAGGCAGGAGAGGGGAAUAUUGGAAAACGGGCGGAGGCAUGAUCGCGCAAUGGUGGGUGAGUGAUGUAGGUCGUAGGGUAGUACAGCUCUUUUACACGCGACGAUAAUGACAGUACCGGGAGAAUAAGCUCCGGCUAACUCCGUG
rnacentral:rRNA from 1 species